rnacentral:lncRNA from 1 species
UUGAGUUCUUACAUCAACCUUUUGGACUGGAAACGUUCUUUAAAAGGCAAAAAUGGUUUCAGUUUCUAACAUUAUGUAAUGAAAGUUUAUCUCUUGCUCUGCUGACAGCAAUAAAUAGUUCCUGUUGUGCUCUUUAUUGCCAUUUUAAUGGCAGAACUCCCAAAGCUGACAAGAUGCUGCAUUUUACUUUACAAGAAACUAUUCUGAGAGAUUCCAUUGAUUGAAGAGCCCUGCUUGACAAGCUUAUUAUAAUGCAUAUGUGAAUCCAUACCCUCUUUAGACAAUGCAGCAGAGUCUGGAGUUCUACUGCUUUGCAUGAGAACCUUCUUAUCCAUUCUCUGUACUCAGAGUCAAGUCCACCAGUUACUUGCAGGCUGCCACAGAGUGGGAGGACUUGGCUUGGGUGAGGCUGCUUAAAGCUAAGGUGCCGUGCUUUAAUCUGGCAGGAUCUCAGCACCACACAGCUGUUGGCUCACCUCCUGCCUCCUGUGGGACCAGGGAGGACUUAGCAGAAAAAUGCAAGAACUCACGGGCUGAGGAAAGGGCCCUUCGAUAACUGAAUUAUCUUCUACCUUCAGAAUUGAGACCAGAAUUGAGUGCUAUGCUGAGGAUUCUAUUUGGCUUUAUGUGAUAUCUAAGACAUAGAAAGAAAUCGAGGACCUUCUGGUUCCCAUCUAGUGAGCACUAAGACUGGAGAUCUGGGCAUAAUGACAAACUGCUGCUUUGGAGGAUGUCAGUAAUCACGCUUAAAUU